UUUAAAUCACAUGUGAAGAAAAAAAAUAUGUGGAUACCUAUUUCAAAUCACAGCUGAGCCUAGCUAGCAGAAGCAUGGAAACCGCCACCCGAUAGGGCGGCUGGUAUAUGUAAUGGAUUCAUUGCAAAACAUGCGUGUACAUUAGGUUGGCCAUCCAAAUUCUAAACCAUUUGGAUUCCGAUGCCCACCGGCGAUAAUGAGUGCGGGCAAGGUAAUGGCGAGCUAAUGCGAGCAAUAUGCUUCGAACAAUAAUUGGGUGAGUUCAUGAAUGUUUUUCGCAGCAAGUGCGUCAGCGUAACGCACUUUUCUUGUUCGAUUGCUGUUUUAUUUCAUGUUUUAGUUAAAUAAUAUCUGGCUGAACUUGGUAAACUAAUGACCCAAUUACUUUUAUUGCCCGCGGUGUACAAGAAGCGUCUACUGACGCUACUAUCUAGUACCUCCCACAAACGCCAUGAUGGUUUAUAAUGGAACGCGCAUUUUUAUUUUUUUGAAAACGCAUUUGGAAAUACAAUUAGACUGUUGCUUGCCUUAAAACUACACCUGAUUGUCGAAUAUAUUAAUAAUAUCAUUAUUAAUGUAUGUACUGCAGUCUUCUUCUUUAUGGCUCUACGUCCCCACUGGGACGCUUCAAGUUAAUGUUCUUGGAGCACUACCACAUUUAUUAAUUGAAGGGCUUUCCUUGCCUGCCAUUGCAUAAAUAUGUAUAUUGUGAGGCAAGCACGAUGAUACUUACACUAUGCCCAGGCAGUCGAGAAAAAAUUCCCGACCGGAACCCGACCGGAAUCGAACCCGCCGUCUCCGGAUUGGCGAUCCAUAGCCUUAAACCAAAAUAUGCAGGGAUAAAGACGGAGGCCUCUUGACGGAUGGACGUGAGGUGAUCGAAAGGUGGAAGCAGCACUUCGAUCAGCACCUAAACGGCGUGGAGAACGUAGGCACGGGAGCCCACGGCAACGGAAGAAACAACGACGCCACACAGUGGGAUCAUUCUGAAAAAAGACGAUCAAAACCUCUAAGAGCCGUUAGAUGGCAUUUUAGCAUAUAGGUGUCUUUGGAAGAUAUAUUUAGAAAAAUCUUCUCUAUUUUUAUGCAUAUUCACUGUAUGGUAAAACUGUAGGGUGAACCCGAGCAAAAAAUAUUUUUUCAAAAUAAUUUUUUAGAGGCUAGAUGUCUUCAGCAAAGUUGUAGAACAAGUAAUUUCAAGUAACUUUUCUGAAGACACCAUAUAGCUUGGACUUUAUUUUUAGGGAGAAAAUAUGAAGGUUUAAAAAACAACCUCAAAAUCAGUUUUUUGUACUUUUCCAUGAUUAUAUCGUAAAAUUUCAAGGUGAUAUGUUCUACAAGUUUGUAGGUACUACUGGAAUACACUAUCUUGCCGAAGACACCAACUCUGUAAAAUUGAAAAUUGCUCCAGUAAACCAAUUUUUUUGAAUUUUUUUUCACUUUUUUCACUAUUGAAUAUUUUUUGAAUAGGCACUUUUUGGCAACCGUGCUAUCAAAAUUUCAAUGCUUUAUCAUGUCCAGAAUAGACCAAAAGUGACUUAACAAUCGGGUAUGAAAAGGCACUUUGAUUUCUGAUGCUAUUUCAAUAGUCAUUUUUCAAAGAAAAUAUUCACAAAUUUCAUACAAAUCAUUUAAUACAAACUGAAAACUCACGAAAACCUUUCGACAUUAAUAUUUGUUAAUCAAAAUAGUAUUCUUGUUGAAAUAGUCUACAUUUUUAACACUGUGGUUGACUUUACAUUGAACACCCGAUAAAAAAUAUCGUUUUUUAAAUUUUUAGAUGAGUUAAAAACUCACUACUGAAUAUUUUUGAGUAGGCACUUUUUGGCAGCCGUGCUGUAAAAAUUUCUAUGGUUCAUUAUGUCCAGAAUAGACCAAAAUUGACUUAACAAUCGGGUCUGAUAAGGCACUUUGAUAUCCGAAGCUAUUUUAAUAGUAAUUUUCAAAGAAAAUAUUCACAAAUCUCAUAAAACCUUUCGAUAUUAUUUUUAGCACAUCCAAGUAGUACUUCUGAAUAAAAAAAAGCAAGUUAAAUAAAUAGUCUUCAACUGUUAGUGUCAUUUAUUUUGAACUACAAAUUUUGAAAGAGGCAAAAGCAAACAUAGCAAAUAAAAAAAUGUUAUCAUUGUUAUAGUUGAUUGAUUAAUGUAUGUAACAUAAACAAAUGCAUUGGGAAUUACAAUAAAAAUUAUAUAAAAAACACAGUUUUUAAUUGGUGUUAAAAACUUAUUCAAUGUAAAGUCAACCACAGUGUUAGAAAUGUAGACUAUUUCAACAAGAGUACUAUUUGGAUUAACAAAUAUUAAUGUCGAAAAGUUUUCGUGAGUUUUCAGUUUGUAUUAAUUGAUUUGUAUGAAAUUUGUGAAUAUUUUCUUUGAAAAAUGACUAUUGAAAUAGCAUCAGAAAUCAAAGUGCCUUAUCAGACCCGAUUGUUAAGUCACUUUUGGUCUAUUCUGGACAUGAUAAAGCAUUGAAAUUUUGAUAGCACGGCUGCCAAAAAGUGCCUAUUCAAAAAAUAUUCAAUAGUGAAAAUAGUGAAAAAAAAUUCAAAAAAUUGGUUUACUGGAGCAAUUUUCAAUUUUACAGAGUUGGUGUCUUCGGCAAGAUAGUGUAUUCCAGUAGUACCUACAAACUUGUAGAACAUAUCACGUUGAAAUUUUACGCUAUAAUCAUGGAAAAGUUCAAAAAAAUGAUUUUGAGGUUGUUUUUUAAACCUUCAUAUUUUCUCCCAAAAAAUGAAGUCCAAACUAUAUGAUGUCUUCAGCAAAGAUACUUAAAAUUACUUGUUCUACAACUUUGCUGAAGACAUCUACCCUCUAAAAAAAUAUUUUGAAAAAAUAUUUUUUUGCUCGGGUUCACCCUACAGUUUUACCAUACAGUGAAUAUGCAUAAAAAUAGAGAAGAUUUUUCUGAGCAUAUCUUCCAAAGACACCUAUAUGCUAAAAUGUCAACUAACGGCUCUUAGAGGUUUUGAUCGUCUUUUUUCAGAAUGAUCCCACUGUGCGCCAGUGCAGCGGAGGACGGAAAUGAACCAACCCCCACGCUGAGGGAAGUUAAGGAUGCCAUUCACCAGCUGAAAACAAACAAAGCAGCUGGCAAUGAUGGUAUCGCAGUUGAACUCAUCAAGAUGGGCCCAGAAAAGAUGGUCACCUGUCUGCACCGGUUGAUAGUCAGGAUAUGGGAAACCGAACAGCUACCGGAGAAGUGGAAGGGAGAGAUAAUCUUCCCAUUUACAAGAAAGGUGACCAUUUAGAAUGUGAGAACUUCAGAGCGAUCACUAUUUUGAAUGCUGCCUGCAAAGUGCUAUCCAAGAUCAUCACCUAAAACGAAUGUAUUCGUGGGAAGUUAUCAAGCCGGCUUCAUAGAUGGCCGGUCGACAACGGACCAGAUCUUCACCAUACGGCAAAUCCUCCAGAAUGCCGUGAAUACCAGGUCCCAACGAAUCACCUGUUCGUCGACUUCAAAGUGGAAUCAGGGUACGAAAAACGGAUCACGCCGAAAAACAAACGCUUUGUCCUAAGCGGUGCAUGUUGGUAACAAAGGCGCUCCGCAACAAACGUAUGUCAGGCGAUGAGAGCAAUAAAACAAACAUCGCUUGCCGUGCGUGUUCUGAUAUUCCGGCUUUUCUGCUGAAAUUUUCGACCCACAUUAUCGAUUUCAUAAGCAUUUGGACGAAAUAAGACUCUUGCAAACCUCAGAGUCGAGUUUCAGUUGUAAAACAAUGCGAAAAUCCCGAUGUGAAUAGAACGAGACAAAUAUUCCUACCCUUUUUGUUGUGAACAAACUCGGGAGCGAUUUUGUCAUUAUCUGCUAACGAAAAAACAAAGCGUUGUUGCCGUGCCUUCCUUGUUGCCUAUUUUUUCGCUUGCUGUGGCAUAUUCUGCGUACACUGAGUGGAAUACGACAGUAUCGACCGCACAGAGCUAUGGAAAACCAUGGGACGAAAUCGGCUUUCCUGGGAAGCUGACUAGAUUGAUUAAAGCAAUGAUGAACGGUGUGCAAAACUGCGCAAGAGUGUUGGGUAAACUAUCCAGUUUAUUCGAAUCUCGCCAGGGACUGCGACAAGGUGACGCACACUCAUGCCUACUCUUUAAUAUCGCCCUGGAAAGUCUAAUGUGAUGAGCCGCGCUCAACAGCCGUGGUACGAUUUUCACAAAAUCCAGUCGCCAGAACUACUAACGACUAAUAAGAAUGUGAGUCGUGAAUUCGAAGGCGCAUCAUCAGUGGAAGUCGUGCCUAUUCAGGGCUCCAGAAGAAACUGUGGUCAACAAAGAUUCACCCACGCACCAAAUGCAAAUGAACAGAACCUUUAUAAGGCCUAUAGGCCAUAUAUGUGGUGGUCCUGACACGAGACUUGGACCAAGCCAGGAGAACGGCGUUUGGCGGCGAAGGACGAACCACGAGCUCGCUGCACUUUACGGUGAACCCUGCAUCGAAAAAGUGGUCAAAGCCGGUGUUCAUGGCAUGUUGCCGGACAACAACCCUGCAAAGGUGGUGUUCCCUACUGACACGAGAAGGUGUGUUGAACAAUCACAAUAGUGUACAGGUCGGACUCGAUUUUCCGGGUGAAUCCAAAAUUAGUUCACCCCGGAUAAUCGAAUCACCCGGAUAAUCUAGCCAUGCUUGUUUUGUGUUAUUUUUGAUGUUCUUCAAUCAAAAACUGUUCCUUUAACAUAGAAGCUAACAUACAUGACGUUGUAGUGCCUAAACUUAACGUCUGGUAUUAUUAUAACCAUGUUUUUUGAAAAUGAAAUUUUAGCUGAAAAAUGUGAAAAAAUAAAAACAAUUUUCAAAUCUAAAUCUUAUUUACAGGUGUUGUCUUUGAUGUUCAUCUCAUUUUUUGACAUAUUGCAAUCUAAAAAUUUGUAAACAAAGCAAAAACAAAUUUUUACCCGGAUAAUCGAGCCAUUUUUGCCGGAUAAUCGAGCCCCGGAUAAUCUGGCCCCCGGUUAAUUGAAUCCCCGGAAAAUCGAGUCCGACCUGUAUAAAUCUGGUAUUAAGGCAGGAUGAGACGGUAGUUUAAACGUGCUAAAAACAGUUUAAACACACAAAAACACAAAAUUAUGCAAGAUCUCGAUAAUUCGAUAAUAGAAGUCACCUUUCUUAGCUCCACACUGCCGUGAAUCGCAAGUCAGUCCCAUCUGCAUUUUGGACAAAAAUGAGUUAAUGGCCGUUUUCGACCUUUCUUGGGAUGAUCUUUCAGCUGCGUCCCAUAAUGAAAUGUAAUCGCAAGUUAGUCCCAUUACGAACUUGUGUACCCUGCAAUACAAAACUUAACACUGUUUUAGCCAGUUUUAUAUUUUUCACUGUUACGUUUUCACGUUUGAAACAAUGUGUGAAAGUUUCAUGAUGAUCGCAGAAGUUUUCAAUUCAUGGCGUUUUUUUUAAGUUUCACAUAGAAAUCGAAUUUGAAAACUUUAGAGUCCAUUUUCUCAAUGCCUACUUUUUGCAGAUGGGACUCUUGCGAUUCACGGCAGCACAGGUCUAACAUAAUAAUCUCGAGGCCAAGAAGCCGUCGAAGAGCUCGAACGCUUGUGUAGUAUCCAGAAAUCUACUACCUCCUGCUUCACCCCUAAAAGUAUUCUAAAAGCCAUUCGGCCAUCAUUUCAAACAGGUCCAAAAUAAAAACAACGGAUUCGUCAUCGCAACUGGUCAUAUUUGCAAAUUAGGCAAUUUCCGAGUUUCCAAUUCCGAUAUUACAAACAGCUGAUCCAAAUGGUCAUGAAUGAGUAUGUGUGUCGCAUGGCCGCUUUCAGACCAUGCGGAAGAAUGCGUCUGGUUUGAUGAUCGUUUGGUUUAUACGAUGCGAUGGUUCCCGCUAACUAAUGAGGUGCGUACGGGUAACGACGUUGGUCAACCUCGACCAUGUAACCGAAAAAAAAGUUUCACAAGCACACAUUAGCGGUAUAGAAAUCACACCAAAUUACUUAUGAAUUAUUAAUCCCCGAGUUGUGGAUGACGGUAUCGAAGAAACCGGUAGAGAGGUGAUCAAUACCAAUGGCCCUGACGAUCCGUCUAGUUUAUCAUUUGUAUAGGAAAUAUUAGUGUCAGAAUUUUAAACGACGGCCUACUUCGACUUCUUCACGGGUAAUACCCAAAACAGAACUGACCUACCCUAACCGGGGUGAACAAUCAUAGGUAUUCUGAAUAAAUUAGUUGCUGGUAUUGUUUACCGGAAGCGAUUAUCGAUAGGAAUUGCGGUUUUCUAAACAAUUUAGUAGACGAUGUAUUAACAUUUUUGUGGGUAUACCAACCGAUCUAACUUAUAGACCCAAUAAUAUUUUUGUUUAUUGUAAGCUGUUUGUAAACAAAUCAAUUCGGAAACCCUAAAGGUCACGCAUUGAGGUGUUUUUCUGAAUAUAAAUCCAUAAAGAUAGUAAAUAUGCUGAAAAUUAGCAAUUGAAAAUGCUUGGAAAGUCCUGUUUAUUGUUUGGUUCUGUUUAUCCCCAAAGUAUACUACUAGCUUAAGUAAACAUGUACACACUUAAAUUAAAUCGCCGCCCUCAGUAAGCAGAUUGCCGAGAAUCCAACAGCCGAGAAUCCAGUGAUUAUUUUCACUGAAUCUCGGUAAAAGUUUUUCCGAGAUGUCGUUAAAACUUUGCCGAUAUCUUGGUAAUCCAACUUUUUACCGAGAUCUCGGCAAAGUUCACCGAAACUCGGUAAUGGUUUACCGAAAUCUCGGUAAAAACUUUUCCGAGAAUCAGUUAAUACUUUACCGAGAUAUCAGCUGUUGGAUUCUCGGCAAACCGUUUACCGAGAUCAAUUUCUGAAUUUAAGUGUGUAAACCAACCUGUACAUGUCCAACCUUCGGUACCGUCUUACCCCUCUGGUUCGACACGUUUUAAUACGACACUUUUUAAUUCGUACCCCGCUUAUACGACACAUGUCGAAUGAAAAAGUGUUCAAAUGUCACAGCGAUGUACACUGUAAAUGCAAAACAGUUUGAUAUUGCGCUUAUACUCGCAUCCGCAGAAACUCCUCUUGCAGCCGCAAAUUUCGGAAGCUCUGAGUUGGUGCUAUUCAACACCCAAACCGCCUGGAGACCAACCGGAAUGAACUGAGGAUGGCAACAAUCGUAGAAAGAAUGAGCUUUUCAUUCGCGCCACCGCAAUAUUUGGUGAAAUUAUGUUUCAUAACAAAUCCGGAAAUCAAAACAAAAACAAAAAUAGAGUUGCCAAAUUUCAAUGAGCAUGGUGGUGUAGGGUGACCAGUUUGUCGAAUUAAAAGUUUACCCCGGUUAUACGACAACAGUCGGUGUCGUAUUAGCGGGGUAAUACGGUAGUUUCAUUCAACCAAACGGAUACAAUAUCGAGAUGACCACAAAUUGGGUUCAUCAGUCUCCACUACUGCUCAGAUGGAUAACUGUGCUUAUGCAAUAAAUAAUGACACGGUUCAUUUGUUAUAAAAUUAAGCCAAAACUGGUGCAAAUGUAGGAAAAUCCAUUUCCCACAAAGAAAGUAUUGGCAUUAACGCAUACAUGUACGUACAAUACCACAACCGCAUGCACCAUCCAUGCAUGCAGGCUCUCGGAGAUCGCACCACCAUCAUCGAAAGCCCAGAAGAAAACUUUGAAUUUUAGCUCACAGUGCUACUUUCGGCGGGCCAGCUUCAAAUUUCUAUAAUUGAACCCCACACUUUUGCUCGCCAAUCACCGGCUAUCGAAAUCAAAUUGUUAGGAGCCGCGGCAGAAAAAGCGAAAUAAAAUUUUAGAAAGUUUACCAAUCGCCACCCUUUUGAGGCACACUGCAACACAGUUGUUCGAGGUUGAUACAUACCCCACCUCCGAAAAUGGCUCUCGCAGAAGUGCUUGACGCCGUCGAUGUUAAGUCAAUCUGUCUAGCAUUUGCCGAGCGUUCGAGUUCGUUUUCUAAUAGAUUGGCUGCAUCAGACAUCGAUGUCGAUAGUACCAAUAGGACAGAUCGGUGAAGUACUAGAUUUGUAGUAAUGAGCUGAAUUUUAGUAUGGUGAGAAGGUCAAUUCUCCGUUUCUGCAAUGAAAUGGUGCAAAAAGCGUGGGUAUUAUGAUUCCUUGCCUAAUUUGAUGCUGUUUGAGCAAAACUUUGUGAAAGUGUUGUUGUUUCCUCAAUUUCUUUCAACAUAAACAACAUAGUUAUCCAAAGUUUUGCUCAAACAGCCUCAAAUUAGGUAAAUAAUCAAAAUACCCACGCUUUUUGUACCAUUUCAUUGCAGAAACAGAGAAUUGACCUUCUCACCAUACUAAAAUUCAGCUCAUUACUAUAAAUCUAGUACUACACCGAACGUGCCCCAUUUUUGGAAUGCAGUGAGAUAGGUAUAGUAUCUACUCGUGUACAACAUUUCAAGUCAAUUGGUUCAAAAUUGACUGAGUUAUAGUGAAAAACAGACGAAUAUAGAAGCCACCGCCCAAGUGGCGCGAUACCCUAGGAAACAAUCGGUGAAGUACUAGAAUUGAAGUAAGACAGAUGGACCGCGAGCGGCGUUUCGGGUCCUGGUCGACGCUGUUUCGGAGCGCGGGCAUCAUCGUGUGUCGAAAAUCUCGGUGCCAACGAAUAAAACAUCUUUGGGACUACAUUCGCCCGAAGUUGGAAGCAACUGUCGGGAGGAAUCUUUGUUUCGGAGAUCUCCAGGUACCGGUGAUGCACAAUACGAGCAGGAACAACAUGCAGAAAGCUCUGAAAAUGUUUAUAAAGAACUUGAUAAAGUAUUUAGAGACCACCCAAUUUUAGAAGCAAACAACUCUAUGUCAUUCUCUUAAUACUAAAAUUCAGCUCAUUACUACAAAUCUAGUACUUCACCGAUCUGUCCUAUUAUACACAACAGGUGACAGAGUAUUGUUACUGAUCCUUACUUUGCAUGCAUCGCUCCUGUAUGGUGUGUGUGUGUGAGUAUCGCAGCAGAAUCGAUCACGUCCGUCUCAGUAAAAUUUAGAGACCACCCAACGUGGGUGAUCGAUUGUUUGCUUUCCGCGUGAAGCGAACAGUAACGCGGUAUUCUGAAUGGCAAUAUAAAUCAAAAGCUCAUAUCACUUAUCAAAAUGAAUCCUGGCCCAACGAUACCUUCCCUACUAACGAAUAACCCUUCCUGCAGCCUUUGGUGAUGACAUGAAGGUAAACGCCUAGCUGAUAAGCUAUGUAAGAAGUUUACCCAAAUUGAAGUGUUUUUUGGGUUGUUAAUAGGGUAUCGCGCCACUUGGGCGGUGGUUCUAUAUUCGUCUGUUUGCCACUAUAACUCAGUCAAUUUUGAACCAAUUGACUUGAAAUGUUGUACUCGGGUAGAUACUAUACCUAUCUCACCACAUUCCAAAAGUUGUGCCAAUUGGUUCAAAUUUGACUGAGUUAUAGUGGAAAACAGACGAAUAUAGAACCACCGCCCAAGUGGCGCGAUUCCCUAUUGGAAAUAAAUGGGUGUUGAAUGUUCUAUGGUUGACACAAUAAGAAAGCAAGAACCAGUUUGCCGUGUCUAUUUAUUUUUCUGGUCUUUGAACCUAACAAUAGCUAGCACACUUCAAUGAACUAUUGAUAGCAUUCGUUUCGAGGGUGGUAUUCGUCAUAGUUGGUACUAAUAAUCCAUCCCUCUUCCAACCUGAUUACAAGAACGUAGCUGGUGCCGUUAUUGUACUACUAAAGAGAGCCUCUCUCACGGUUAUCUUGGAAAGGUUGGAAAGGAACAGCAGCACGGCCAUCGUAUCGAGUUAUCCUUCGUGACUUGCUAUCACGAAAGUGUAUGAUGAGUUUUCGGGAACUGACGAAUUUCCGGUUCGUCCGAGAUUUCGCCUGUCUUAAUCUGAGGAAUCACAAACUCGAUCAUUUCGUUCGUAACUACCCAGCCAGUAAGAAGUGUGCGUGUGUGUAUUUUACUCGUGUGUAAUCCUACGAAGUCGGUGAGUCAACUCAAAUAUCCUUUUUGCGUGGAGCGGGGCGUCCUUAUUUUAUUUAUUUAUUUAUUUAUUUAUAUCAUUUAUUAAUAAGUAACUUAAGACAUAUUGUCUUUUUAAAUGUUACAAUCAAUUCAUCGAUAGAAGAAGUGCCGCCCAUUAUUGUCUUAUUGUAAACAGUGAACUUCAUUUUAAAUUACUAUUUUAACCCCAGUGCUCUAUACAUUUCUUUCUUAAAACUGCCCCGUAAUAAUUAGCGUCAAAUCAUUAGGCAAAGAAUUCCAAGUUGAAACACCCCUUACGAAAAAGCUAUUGCCGAAUUUAGUGGUAUGAUGUCUUGGUAUCGCGAAUUUUUUCGACCUUGCGCUACUAAUCUAAUCUAAUCUAAUACAAACGCAGCCAGUACGAGAAAGCAUCCUGGAAAGUAAUCAGGUUAGAUUAAGCCCAAUUACUUUUCUUGUCAAUAUUGAGGCUUGCAAAAUAUCAGGGAUAUGAUGCAAGCGUCAAAGCGGCCAGGCCUACUGCGUUGUAUUUGCCGCAAAGAUGAUUCUUGGAAUUGUCUCGAGUUUAAACGAUAGUUUUUCGUCGAAGCAAUUCUAGAAUCUACAGGGGAGGAAGGAUGCGUGGACAUACCGUACCAAACGCUCCAAUGGGUUAGAUAUGGUUAAAUGAAUAUAUGAAUGUGUAAAUAAUGUAAUUAAAUACAGUCGGAACCCGCUCGUUGAGCCACAACCUCCACCCAACCAACGAAUUCGAUUCGCUAGUUGGGUGAAGUGACAGCAGCACAAGGGGCGUGCGCAUUGUUUUUUUUUUUAAUCAUUUUUAGGUUGGAAGCAAAAAGCAAAAUUUUUCAAUUUGUUUCACAUUUAGAGCAAAACUGAUACGUUUUGCAAGAUACAUAUAUGGCCAAUGCUAGGGGCAGGACAGAUCUAACGAGAGCAAAUCUGUGUUCGAGGUGUUGUUCAGAAUUCCUCACAGUUCCUCAGAAUUUCUCCCGUUUAUGCCAAAGUGUGAUCUGGCACCAAUGUCAAACCGCAAAGUGUUGCGUGUGCUGAAUGAAAAUUGCAGUUUUAGGGAUGUCUUUUAACAAAUUUCGUCGAUCAACGAUGAAAAGAGUAACUCAGAAUCCCUCAGAGUUACUCUCGUUUGCACAGUGUCUUGCCCCUAGGGCCAAUGCGAGAAAUAAUUAUUUUCACCCAUUUUUAGUCGGUGAAGUGAAAAUAUAGACCCGGACCAAAAGCAAGCACAAAACGCUUUUAAUGAUCGACAAAAUAAAGAUUACCGAUGUUUUGCAUUUAUUUCGAAGUAAUUGUACAUAUUCUUUUUUUUUUUAAGAAAUAUGAAAUAGAAAUUCUUUUCGAUUAUCAUUAAAGUUUAAGAAACCAAAAACUCAUUAGCUCGCCCCUCGGAAUUACAGAUUGGUUGUCAUUUUCAGUUUGACAUUGAAUUAUGACAUCCAGGUACUUUUUAGUUGGCUGACAGCUCAACUAACGGGGCCCCAACUAAAAAGUCACCCAACUAUUAAGCCCCCAACCAGCGAGUCAUGACUGUAUGUUGAUAUGAUGAAUAUUGGAAAGCUCUCACCCAUCUGGUUUGUGCGGUCCGAAAACAAUAAUAAUCCAAUGCAAUGAAAUUAUGCUCCUCGCGAGACCGCAAGACAGGACACUGAACUUCGUUAACAGCGAGAUCCGGUACUUCCAACUUCCAUUAACGUAACGCGAACCACUUUCCAGAUACUUUUUAAAAACGCGCAUUCUCUUGGCUCCGACUAAUUUUACGUCGCGAAACUGUGUCACUUUCUGGAUGGCGUAGUCCGGCUUUUAUGCUACGAGCGGAAUCGCAAAAGCACACAAUUUUGUAGAAAUCUCCACCACAGUGCACUGGAGAAUGGUGCCUCAAAUUCGUGCUCCCCGUUUUGGAGUGCGCUACACCUUAUUUUUUUUUUUCAAUUAAUAUCUUUAAUUAUCACUUUUCACUUUAAAACAUUCAGUCAAAAUUGAAAUUUUGAAAACGGCAGUAUCGGAACGCAAAAAACGUGACAAGCAGAGGAAACACGUCCGUUCGUGGCAAAGCCUACUACGAUUCUCGAAUUUUUUCGACCUUGCGCUACGUAAACAAUUUAAUUUUGUAUAUAAAUAUUUAUAUAUUCAGGCUUCUUUAUGCUAGCAAGUUUAAAAACUAGUUGACAGCAACGCAGUUUACAAAAGUUCUCGAAUGAACAACCUAAUAGUCGUGGUUAAAGAUGUGAAACAUGACUAAAACGUGAAAGUUUAAAAACAUAUCUAACACAAGCGUUUAAAGCAACCUUCACGCGAUUUAAAGUAUCUGCUGAGACCUGCAUUAACAAAAAAUCACAUGCGAUAAAAUACGGUAAAAAAAGAGUUUUGAACAACUUAAUCUUAGUGUUCGUAGGCAACAGAGAAGCAGUAAGCUGUAACGAACGAAGUUUUCCAUAAAUUUUACCACAUUGUUGCAACACAAAUUUGUCCCAUUCUAAGUUUGAUUGGAUAACAUAGCCCAAGCUAGUGGCAGAAUAGGGCACGUUCAGUGUAGUACUAGAUUUGUAGUAAUGAGCUGAAUUUUAGUAUGGUGAGAAGGUCAGUUCUCUGUUUUUGCAAUGAAAUGGUACAAAUAGCGAGGGUAUUAUGUUUCCUUGCCUAAUUUGAUGCAGUAUGAGCAAAACUUUGGAUAACUAUAUUGUUUAUGUUGCAAGAAAUGAUGAAAAAAACAAAACUGUUGCCCAAAGUUUUGCUCAAACAGCAUCAAAUUAGGCAAGGAAUCAUAAUACCCACACUUUUUGCACCAUUUCAUUGCCGAAACGGAGAAUUGACAUUCUCACCAUACUAAAAUUCAGCUCAUUACUACAAAUCUAGUACUUCACCGAUCUGUCCUAUUAAUAUAGCUUAUUCGAUUGCCAUCGAUCAUAAUCGUAGGUCUGAGGGUAUCAUUUCUAUUGGAUAUGAACAUAGCAUGAGUUUUGUUGACAUUUAGGGCUAGGGUAUUUUCCACUGCCCAGCUAAACACCCUUUUCAAAUCAGCGUUGAUUUUCGUAGAAACAUUAUCAGCGUCUCCGAGAAUACAUUCUAUAUACAGCUGUACAUCAUCAGCAAAUACUUGAAUUUUCCAGUAUUAAAGGACAUUAGGAAGAUCAUUAACGUACAAAGAAAAAAGGAUGGGUCCUAAAAUUGAUCCUUGCGGAACACCAGAUAUUAUAGGUAAAAAGUUGGAAUAUUCUCCGUUGUUGUACACAGUUUGAACACGCCCUUGGAGAUAUGAUUUAAUCAAUGACACAGAGUCACUCGAGAAGCCAAAAUUGUUCAGCAACUUUCUACAUAACACACUGUGCGAUAUUCUAUCAAACGCCUUCGAAAAAUCAAGAAGCAAAAGGACAGCUGAAUUACCUUGAUCAAGAAUAUAUCCAAUAUCAUCUAAAAUUUUUAGCAUAACUGUUUUUGUACUAUGGUUGGGUCUAUAUCCAGAUUGAAACUGAAUUAAAAGAUUGUUGUCGGUAAUGUAAUUGCAAAUUUGCUUUUUCAAAAUUUUCUCAAAUACUUUGGAUAAACUAGGUAAAAUACUUAUAGGCCGUAAGUUUUCGAGUGAAUCGUUUCUAGGUUUCUUCUGCACCGGAAUAAUUUUUGCCAUUUUCCAUGCUCUUGGAAAGUUACCCGAAAUAAUUAUACGAUUAAAAAUGUAGCAGAUUGGACUGAUGAUAAGUGGCAAAAUAAUCUUUAGAAAUUUAAGAGGUAGUUCAUCAAGCCCAACAGCGUUAGAUUUUACUUCAAACAGAGCAUUUAUGACUUCAGCUUCAUCUACAAUUCGAAAAUUGAAAGAAUUCCAUUGAAAAUUCGUUUGUGAACCACAACUAGUCGUAUUAUCCUUAUAAUUUCUUAAAAAAGAUUCAUUAAUUUCAUUUGGUGUUACCGUGAUGGUUUGACGUUCUGAUGAUGAAUUAACACCUAAAGAUUUGAGUCGUUUCCAUAAGUCUUUUUGUGAUAAUUGUGGGCUGAAGUAUUCAGAAUAGUAAUUUUCUUUUGUUGUUCGGAUGAGUAGAUAAACUCUAUUCCUCAAUCUUUUGUAUAGGUUCUUAUUGUUCAGUUUGUUUGUAUUGUUCAGUAUUUUUAGCCGCUUUCCAUUGUUCAAAAGCUAUGUCUCGAUCCACCAUAGCUUUGGCAAUUGCACUGUUAAACCACGGAUUACCCGUUCGUCUAGAUCGAGCUGUCUUCAAGGGAACAAAAGAAUCAUGUAAACCAACUAUUGCUGUAUUAAAAAAAUCAGUUAAUAUAUCUGGAUCAUCAAUCUGAUAGAAGUUUAACCAACAAUCCUGUGAAACGCUUCAUUUAAAAGAUUGGCAUUUAUUUGAUUAUAGUUCCGAUAUUGAUAAGUACCAAUAGCCGGAGUUUUGGUAAAAUUUAGCGAUGCGAAUAUUGGAAAACACAGGUGCUUCCACUUGGCUGAAACGAAGCACGUUAGAUUGGUCAUUAGUUAUCAUCAAAUCCAGCUGUGAUUGACCAUUUUCGUAGAAAAAAGUUGGCUCAGUACCAAUACUAACUAAGCCAUGCGUCUCCAGAACGCUGACAAAUCUUCUAGUUUUAGCCGAACUAACAUUUAAGAGAUUCGUGUUAAAAUCUCCCAAUAAAUAUAUGUUUCCAUACAUUGUUCCAUAUUCACGCAUUAGUAAAUCUAACAAACAAGAGUCAUUGUCAGGUGGAUUGUAAAAAGCACCUACAAGUAAAUUGCAAUCAUUAACCGUAAUAUCCAAAAGCAUAAACUCAGUGUCGAUUCCCCCUGAUUCGUUUUCUGAAACUCGCAAAACUUUGAACUUAAGUUCGUUUUUAAUUAGUACUGCAAUUCCACCUCCGAUUCGACCAACUCUGUCAUGUCGAAUUAUUUGGUACCCAUGUACACAUAAAACGCUAUCACUAAUUUUCUCGCUUAGCCAUGUUUCACUAAUGCACAUGACAUCAACAUUAGACACAGAUAAAAUAUCACGCAACUCAUCUAGCUUCGUCAACUUUCUAGCACAUAAGCUCUGACUGUUGAAACAGGACAAAGAAAUUUUUCCAGGUAUUAGAGCUGAUUUCAUGACCACUCCUGGUAAACACAAAUUCGCAGAGGUGUUUUGAUUGGAAUUACUAGCCAUUAUCUAUUUGUUGAGAGACAUAUUGUCGAAAGAAACAUAAAAAGAGCACUAUCCCACCACACUUAAACAUAACAUCUCUCAUCAUAACUACAGCAAUGACGCGAAAAAAUAAAGCAGAUUUUUAAAAAUCAUUGCGGCAACAUAUGGGCACCAUAUCCCAAGUAACAGCAUAUAAUAAAGUAGCACGGUAGUUGUUUCAGCCUUCACACAUUUGCGUAACAGCAACAGCAGCAGCAUGCACAGUCCCAACAGCAGCAACCAACAGCAAGGUCCCCACCAGUAAAUACUAGUGUUUAUGUUUAACUUUCAGGAGGGGAUUCAUGGGAAUCAAUGAUGGGAUUGGAAGGAUAAGAGCUUUUAUUUGGGAAAAGGUAAUGUUGUUGAUGACUUUCAGGAAGGAUACACAGGAAAAAAUUAGGAACGGAUUGGAAGGAUUAGUAGUAGCUUUUAAGGAAAGGGUAGUUUAUUUUUCAAAAGUUGGUCCAGCAUCCCUUAGAGUUCUUUUUUGCUAGUCAAAAGACUGAAGACUGUGUGUUGCUAAGGCCUGGCCUGGUUGUCACACCAGUGGAGCAGACUGGUCCACAUAUACAUCGCCCAGAACCGUUACGUCAGGCGAACAUGAGCAAAUAAGCUAACAUACAAAAUGUGUGUAAACUCUUUCAACCGUCAUUUCGAUAAGGAAACCUAACUAGCAACCAUUUAGAGAUGGCGCAACGAUCGAACUCACAACGCUUGAGUACAAAUGACAAACGCCAAUAAUCCCUUUUAGAUAGCAAUUGCUGCAGCAAUGGGGCACAUUCGGUGUAGUACUAGAUUUGUAGUAAUGAGCUGAAUGGAAGCAAUUUAUGAAGUACUAGAUUUGAAGUAGUGAGCUGGAUUUGUGUAUGGUGAGAUGACUAAUUCUCCAUUUUUACAAUAAAAUGGGUAAAACAGCGUGGGUAUCAUGAUUUCUUACUUAAUUUGAUGCUGUUUGACCAAAGUUUGGGUUAAUGUAUUGUUGAAGUUGCAAGAAAUAAAUAAUACAACAACACAGUUCAACAACUUCAACAAGACAGUUAUCCAAACUUUUGCUCAAACAGCAUCAAAUUAGUCAAGAAAUCAUAUAACCCACGCUGUUUGCCCCAUUUCAUUGCAGAAAUGGAGAAUUGAUCAUCUCACCAUACAAAAAUCCAGCUCACUACUUUCAAUCUAGUACUUCACUGAUUGCGUCCUAUUCUCUGUUUUUUUUGUAAUAAACUGGUACAAACAGCGUGGUGCCACGUGUUUUGAGACGUAAGGACUGUAUCGUUAAUUAUGAGUACACCUUUGAGGCUCUGUAUUAAAAAGACUAUGCCUUAUUUUGACAACUGCUAUGUGUCUAUGUGUUGCUAACGUUGUAAACAAACGAUAACCUUCAUUAAAAGUUCAAGUUUUUCCUCAAGUGCAACAAUGCGAGAGUUUACGGAGGAGAAGCGAAAAUCGAUUGUGACCAGGCACUGCAAUAAAAAAUGAUCAUCGCUAAGAAAAUUAGCAAAAAAUGAAUGUGUUAGGGUUUUUGUUGUCCAAAAUGCUAUCAAACGAUUCGGUAUGCAUAACACACUGAAAGACUCACCCGGACGUGGGAAAAAAACAGGUGUGUCCAAGCCAAAUUUGGACAGCAAAAUUUGCAAAAUCGUUAAAGGAAAAUAGGAGGUAUACAUCAGAGAUUGAGCAAAAAAGUGUGGAACGUUUGUUGGUAUGGUUCAACGCGCCAAGGAGUGUAAUUCCCUGAAGACCUACACAAAACAGAAAUGUCCAAAACGCAGUCAAAUUCUGGCGAAUUGAUGAUGAUGAUGAUGGUUUCCAUUCAUUGUAGCACGGUACUAAGCCCGAUAGCAAUGGGCUGUCCAUCCAAUGUGAUUUGAUCAAGCAAAACAUUAUAAUUAUACAACCAAGAUCAUACAAUUAUAUAUAGUGCAAGCCAUCGCAUUGGAGGAUGCCCCAAUGAAUGUGAAAAAGAAGAAUCUGUCAUUCUCCACAUAAAAGUUAUAAUAAGAAGUUGGCAUCUCCACUCUUCCCAACCAUUAUGUUUCGAUUGACAGCUCUUAUUUCCCUCCACUCCCAAAAAUAGUUGUUUUAUACCAAGUGUUUUAUAACAUCAAAAAAGUAUCAUAUUAUAGUUUUCCCUCAUAACUUACCUAUUUUUCUCGUUCAUUCUUGCUAGCAACGAAUCUUACCAAGUAUCCACAAACUCCCAGGUCAAACCAAAUGUGAUGAUGAUGAUCCUUCAAUGUAAUAAACCAUUACUCAUAAUAGCAUCACAUUCCAAAUCAUCAUCAUAAAUUACUCCACUAAUUUCACAAGAAUCACAUGGAGAAUAAAUACGGUAUGAAUGUUCAAAUAAUUUCGAUUCUAAAAGCAAAUUCACAUCAUCACGCGAUCCAAAAACAAUUCUAAGCUUGUCAAUUGAGACUUUUUUAAUUUCUUUUAUAGAUUUAUACCUUUUAUAAAAUCAAUAAAACAUUAAUGGGUCUAUCUGUUUUUCCGAAAAUAAACAACGAAAGGACCCGCAAAAGUCUGUGGAUAAAUUUCUAUUCGAAAAGGCUUCACAGCAGGGGAAUCUUUAGGAGAAACAUUCGGAUUUGAUUCUCCUUCAUCUCCAUCCGUUUCCAUUGUAAAUGAAAAUUAAUGGUACGAUCGAUUAAUGGUUCCUUGACCUGAUCAAAAGUUAUGCAACAGGCUACCGUUUUCAAUUAAAUACUAUUUCUAUCACUAUUAACGAAAGAACAAAAAAGGGUAAUAAAAGGAAAGAAAAUUGAUAAAAAAUAAAUGUUACUCAACUCACGAAAACACCAACGAGAGAACUUGAAUCAGAAUGUCUUGAACACACUGCUUCAAACGUCCAAACCCUUGAAACUCGAGCCCCGUAUUCAAGAGGAGGUAUCGCUGCAAACUCCGCUUCCGAUGCAAUCGUUGCAAAUUCUUCUUCAAUCCGCAUUCUUUCAAAUUCGCCUUCAAAUUCGCAAUCCUUGGGAAAUAUCCUUCGCCGAAUCCAAAAGUAGGUUCCGCUUCACACUUCGCUCCUGAAGUACCAACUAGAAUACAUCCGUACAGUAUCGGCUCCAAUUCCGCAGUCCGCAGUCAAAUUCUGGCGAAUUAUGUGAAAACUCGGGCUUGGAAGCUGUACGACGAUAUUUUGAGCAAAAAUUUCAUGUGGAUAAUCAUGGAUGAUGAAACGUAUGUCAAAUUGGACUACAAGGCACUUCCAGGGGCACAGAUUUUCACUGUUAAGCAUGGCACGGAUGUUACGAAUUAGGAAAAAUCGUUUUUUUGCGUAAAAAUUGGAAAAAUGUGUUGGUUUGGCAAGCAGUUUGUCAAUGUGGUAUGAAAUCGUCACGUUUCUUCACCGUCCCAGGUAUGAACGUCGAAAUAUACCGGAAGGAAUGUCCCCAGAAACUUAUUCUGCCACUCAUCUGAAAGCACACAGGUCCUACAUUACUUUGGCCGGAUUUGGCAUCCUGCCACUAUGCGCGUGACACCUUUGACAGGUAUGAAGUAAACAAUGUUCAAUUUGUGGAAAAGACAAUGAAUCCUCUACAUUGCCCGCAAAUAAGGCCCGUUGAGAAAUAGUUAACUUUGAUGAAAGGGAAACUACGGAAAAAGGAUAGAGGAGCAGAGGACGUCACAAAAUUCAAGAAAAACUGGGUCAACGUUAGCAAACCAUCGUCGGCACGGUUGUCCAAAACCUUAUGAAGCACGCCAAGAAGAAAGUGCGAGAGGUGGCAAGAUCCACGAAAAAUUAAAUAUACAAUCAUGUCAUGGGCUUUUCUGAUGAUCAAUAAACAAUGUAGUUGAAUUUAAUUUACAAAAUAAAUAAAACAUUUUGAAAUACAGCAAUUUUCAGGUGUACUCAUAAUUAACGAUACAGUCUAUCGCCUGGGUUGGAUGGUAGACAAUCGCCCAAAAUGGAGAUCUAUCAAUUCGGGCCUCUGCACCACCAUGGGUGGUCAGGAUUAAAGGUAAGGAAGUCCAGAAGAAACUGUGGUCAUAAAACAUAUUCCAUUGGAUUCAUUCCUGCACCAAAUGAACCAUGUUAUUAUACGCUAGUAGAACCGGUGGUUCUCUAAGGAAACGAGACGUCAACCUUGCUCGAAGAGGACUUGCAAACUAUCGAAGUUUUCGAACAACGUAUGAUUCGGUGGUGUACAGGAGAACGAUGUGUUCUGUUAAAAAUUGAAGCACGUGCUCCCUGGCUUGUACGAUAGACCCAGUAUCUUCAAAGUAGCUAAGGCUAAACGGAUACGGUGGACAAGGUCUGUUACGAGAAUCCAAUGGAACAUUGCAGAAACAGAGAAUUUACUAUCUCACCAUACGAAAAUGAGCUCAUUUCUAUAAAUCUAGUACUCCACCAGACAUGCCCUGUUGAGUAGAAACCGAGUACAAGUUUUUGGGUACGGAUGAAAUGCUCAUAUUCGUAUCUAACAAUACAAAGGCUCAGCAGAUUCGACAUGAACUCGGGUUCUGCUCAACAGGGUAUAUCUGGUGUGCAAACAGUGCUGAAACUAUGCUUUCCUGUCUAAUUUGCUGCUGUUUGAGAAAAACUUUAGGUCACUGAACAACACAGUUCUACAUUUCUUGGCUUAUCAACAAUACAGCGACUCCAAGUUCUGCCCAAACACCAGCAAAUUGAACAAAACAUCAUAAUAGGUCGCGAUCGGUGAAGUACUAGAUUUUUAGUAAUGACCUGAAUUUUUGUAUGGUGGGAUGAUGAAUCUCCGUUUCUGCAAUAAAAUAGUUUAAAAAGCGUAGGUAUUAUGAUUCCUUGCCUAAUUUGAUAACUCCACCAGACAUGCCCUACUAAAAUUGUGUUGUCUCUUUUUAUUCGUGAAUUUUAACUUAAUAGCAAAUUCUUCACAGAUGUCAUUUUAAAAAAUAAAUUAAGAACGUGGUUUUACAAAUAUCGUUAAAUUCAUCCCAAAUACAAAAGCCAACAAUCGGAUUUGCUGACCAUCACACAAAACAUCCACUAGAAAUCGCACGGCACGAACAACAGCUGCUGCAAUCGUAAAAUCCGCCGUCAACAGCGGAAUUCGUGCCAUGAGUAAAAAAAAAACAAAACAGAAAUGAAAGGCUUCAUACGCAGAAACCAAAUUUUCAACCUUCCAAAAGUUACUCGGUAAGUAAACAUUUAGCAGGCAAUCAGCUUAUAGCUGCACGCUGCGCAGGGUUUUCGAUCAUCGGUUCCAUCGCCAUCCACCGUCACCAUCGCCGUCGUCGCCGCCGAGUCCAGUCCAGUCAGCAGUCAGCGUCGCAGAGUAGUAGUCAUUCAGCCCACCAGUUCGCCAGCAGGUUUCAAAGGAAGGAGAAAGUGCAAACAAACACACUGCUGAUUGUUGCUCGGUCGUCCAUUCAAAGAAGCGCGACCCAGGCUGAAGAGUGACUAGACCACUACUGGUAGCUUCGACAUACAACCAAUCCUCCACGAGUCGAUAUGGAUUUAUGAAAAUAUCGGCUAUAAUGGAAAAAAUGCUUUUGAAAAAUAACUGUAUUCUCUAUUUCUUGGCUGUCCAACAACACGGUUUCCCAAAGUUUGCUUAGAUAUCAAACUAGACAAGAAAUCAUAUCUACUACCUAUCCAUUGCAAAAACGUAGAAUUUAUCAUCUCACCAUACAAAAAACCAGCGCAUUACUACAAAUCUAGUACUCCACCAGACCAGCGUAAUAUAAAUUUACAUGCACUACAUGCACUGCUCAAACAGCAUCAAAUUAGGCAAGGAAUUGGCUUCUUUAGUGGUGUUGAGAAAAUUCCAUAUUCUGAAUCUGCAUGCCAAACUGAGCCGAAAUCCAAAUUUUCAUCAAUUUUGGUGCCCGGGAACCUAUUUAAAAAUCAAUUUGAAAUUUGUAUGGGAGCGAUUUGUCGAAUCACCCCUCGUCGCAUUUUGUACUGAGCGGAGCUGUCAAGCAGUUGCCCAGCUGUCAAAAGGUGAUUUCAAAAAAUUUCUUUGAAAUUGAUUUUAGAUACCAAAAUAAAGUUCUAAAAAUCUGAAAAAAAUCAUAGCGGCUCAGAAAAAGGUGCUCUUUCGUUUAAAAAAAAAAAAUCAUUGAAUGUUUCCUAAUUUAAAAACCCAAUUAUAAUACCCACGGUUUUUGCAUCAUUUUAUUACAGAAACGGUGAACUCAGCAUCUCACCAUACAAAAAUUCAUCAUAUUACUACAAAUCUAGUACAUCACCGAUCGUGCCCUAUAGUAACACCACAACAUUCGGUAUGCGGCUGCCGCUCUUUAUCCUCGCUGCGCUCCACGCCUUGUUGUACCAACCGGGUGGACAAAUACGAAUUUUUCACGCAUGUUGUCCGGCAUUCGUGCAACAUGCCCUGCCCACAGUAACGUUUCACAGAGAGCAGCAAACUCGUGGUUCAUCUUUCGCCAGCACAUACCGUUCUCCUCCACAUCACCGAAGAUCGUCCUUGUCAUGCGUACAUGCAGAUCCUCCUCGAGCAUGGUUCAUGCAUUGUGUCCGUGAAGGUCUCAUUAGCGAUUUAUAUACCAUAUGGUGUGGGGGUGAAUUUUUGAUCCUUCGUAUUUUAUUACUCACAUUGUUGUCAGCUGUCAGUAAAAAUCUGAGGUAGACGAAUCCCUCCAUUGCCUCGAAGGUAUCUCCGUCUAUGGCGACAUUUCAUCCUUGAUGAGGUAUGAGUUAUGCAUGGGUAUAUUGUAUUGGACGCAUUUACCACCAGUCCGACCUUAGCUGAUUCGCCGUUCAGCCGAGUGUCCAGGUCUGCCACCGUUCCAAAUAUUCUGGGGAUAAGCAUGAGCAUGAGAUGAGCAUGAGAUCAGGUAACUGUGUUGUUGAAGUUGCAAGAAAUGAAUAAUAGAACAACACAGUUACCCAAACUUCUCAAACAGCAGCAAAUUAGGCAAGAAAUCAUAAUACCCAUGCUGUUUGCACCAUUUCAUUGCACAAACGGGGAAUGGAUCAUCUCACUCUACACAAAUCCAGCUCGCUACUUUCAGUCUAGUACUUCCCCGACUGUUUCCUAUACGUAGAUGCUACUCCGUUACUGACAAGAACAGUCAAAAUAGCACAGGGAACGAAGAGAUGGUACCUGGUUGUAGCUUUCCAUCCUCCAUGUGCGUUUUCGAAGUUUAUCUUGUAGUACCGAUGCCGGCUACGUCCUUACGGUUAUUGGGGAAGGCAAGGAAUGUUAGUGUGCACUGAAUGAAAUUUCAAACAUCACGCAACAAUAAUGACAAUGUCGCAACCUGCAUUUGCUGCGACAUUCUACCCAGUAAGACAAAGAUUUGUUCCAACCAGUACUGAAAAAGUCAUUUCGGCAUAUUUAAAUUCUACAUCUUGUAGAACUGGUCUAGCCGCACAAGUUUUUCAUAUACCAUAUUCGCAGGUUCAGCUUCUAAAAUGAGCUGUAAGUGGUUGAAUUUAAAUAUGUCAAAAUGACAUUUUCACUGAUUCCAACUUAGAAAGAAUAGGAGGCAAUCAGUGAAGUACUAGAUUGAAAGUAGUGAGCUGGAUUUUUGUAUGGUGAGAUGAUCAAUUCUCCAUUUCUGCAACGAAAUGGUGCAAACAGCGUAGGUUAUAUGAUUUAUUGGCUAAUUUGAUGCUAUUUGAGCAAAAGUUUGAAUAACUGUGUUGUUGUAUUAUUUUUUCCUGCAACUUCAACAACACAGUUAUCCAAACUUUUGCUCAAACAGCAUCAAAUUAGUCAAUAAAUCAUAUAACCCACGCUGUUUGCACCAUUUCAUUGCAGAAAUGGAGAAUUGAUCAUCUCGCCAUACAAAAAUCCAGCUCACUACUUUCAAUCUAGUACUUCACUGAUUGCCUCCUAUUGGCCGGAAUUACAUUUUCCAGGGCGAAGAGAAGGCCUAACAGUCCGUCACCUUGUCGCAGUCCCCGGUAAGAUCUGAAUGAACUGCAUAGGUCACCAGUAACCCGUAUGCAUUUUUUGCACACCGUACAUCGUUGCUUUGAUUGGUCAGCUUCCUAGAAAAGCCGUUCUCGUCCAUGAUUUCCCAUGGCUUUGUACGAUCGGUACUGCCGUAUGUCGCCUUGAAGUCGAUGUACAGGUGAUACGUUGGAACCUGGUAUUCGCAGAACUUCUGGACGAUGUCGUAAUGUGAAAAUAUGGUUUGUUGUCGACCGACUGGGAAGUUCUCACAUUCUGAAUGGUCGACUUCCACCGUUAGUUGUUCGGUUUCUCAGAUCCUGACUAUCAAGCGAAGCAGACAAAUGACCAACUAUUUUGGGGUCAUCUGGAUUGGUUAAGCUGUGAUACCAUUACAUUGUUACCCGCUGCUUCGUUGAUUUAUAGCGUAGGAGAUGGAUCUUUCCAGACGUUUGCUGCAUUAACGUGGUCGUUUCUUCCGUUGCCCCCGUUGGUCGCCCUUGCCUACGUUCUACCAACAAUUCAGUUGCUUAUUGAAGUGCUGCUUCCAUCUUUCAAUCACCUCACGUCCGUGCUCCCGUCUUUAUUCCUGAAUAUUUCAGUACGCUUCUGUUUGUAACGUCCCAUGUUUUGUCGUGUUCCUUGCUGCAGCAUUACCGCUCGCACUGCAUUCUUCUCCUUCACAAUCGUUCUGCACUCCCCGUCGAAACAUUCGUUCCGUCGACUCCGGUUCCAUGUACCCGAUGGUGCUCUCGGCUGUGUCGUUGAUUGCUGUUUAUACUGUACUUCGACAUUCAUCAAGAGGAGGCACACCAAGUUCCCACUCGUCUGGCACCGCUGUCUCUAGAUUCUGCGCGUAUGCUGAGGCGACAUCCUAUUGCUUCAGUCGCUCUAGAUUACACCGUGGCAGUCGCCGAUACCGUACAAUGACGUUGAUAAAGAAGAGUUUUGGGACCACUUUGACUAUCUCCAGGUAGUGGACCAGAAUCUAUAUUGACGCUACGAUCAGACGUCGAAUAUGUCGGAGAAGUGCCGUCUAUCAUUCAGAACGUGCUCAAUUUGUGAUUCCGUGAUCUGCAAACCCAUAUGCAUUGGAAAUGGUGGAACCAGACUGAUGCUGGCUGCAAACAAGCUUAUUAGAAGGGAAUAGAAAUGCUAUCUACGUGAUCAUGUGGUAGUGGCCAAAUUCUUCAAAAAACAACCAGUGUCCGAAAAUCAACUACCAACUGGAAUAUGUGCGUGAUUUAUCAAGUUUAUGUGACGUUGGUUGAAACAAUCUACGCAAUUACAAAUUUAUCAAAAAUAGAUAAUCACCUUGGUAAACACACACUUGCAUUUGCAAUAUUUUGAUUGUUUUUUCCUGGAAGUUAGUAUCACAUGUAUACCCCUUUUAAUUCCGUUAUUUUUUGUUAUCAUACUCACACAUGCAAACUUGUAAAAGAAAUACAAAAAAUGAAGCAGAAAGCAAUUAUUCAUUCAUAUACAGGGUGUUAGGUUCCUGAGUGCAAACUUUUUAAAGGGUGAUAGAGGACCAUAAAUGGUGAAAAAAUUGUUCUACGCAUAUGGUCAAAUCUCAACCGUUACGUAGUUAUUGAACUUCCCACUCUUAUUGCCUUAACUGGCAAUAACUUGAAAAUGGUCAAACUUAUCGAAGUUUUUUUACCCUUACUCGAAGAAUUAUUGAAUUUUCUAUCAAAUGGCAUCUUUGAAUCGAUUGGUUUAGUUAAAUAACUAAGUUUUCUAAAGCGAAUAG